GUUUCCCCAAAUGCUGGAAAAGUAAAGGGGGUUAGCUCCAAAGUUAGCAACAAUGGGUUAGCAUAACCCCCCACCCGGUUGACUACAGUCCUACUAUUAUGAUGUACUAUUUAUUAGACACCUCUCUUAAUAGACGAGUUAUAAUGUCAAUCCUGCCCUGAAUAUGCCUUAUUUUUAUUGUUUAUUAGCAUCUCCACUGGUUGUUACUAUGGUGAUAACUCUCUUCAUUUGAUCCAUGUUAAGAAAAAUUGUGUAUUAUCGACACCUUCAUACUCUACAUACAGUGCAGUUACAGAAAUUAUUUUCAGGUCCAUAUCACUGCUUCUUAAAAUCUUCUUUACUUGAUAAAAUAAUAAUUGAUGGCAAAAGUUGCAUGUUAAUUAUUUUGCCCUUCCUAUGAAGGCAUCACAUGUUAUUUUGAUACCACAAUUACACUCCCUGCCUGCAUGCCACUUCUGGAUAGGUGCUCACCUUCUAUAGCUGAAGGGAUUGUUACAUCAGGAUUAGUAAGUGGGGAUAAAGCUGCUGUAAAGUCCAGUGUUAUCCCAACAGCUGCCCUAAGCAGAAGCUGGCAUUGUUUAUUCCUGAAUAUAGUUCAACAACAUUAGCCUUGUCAAACCUGCUCUUAAUCAUUCUGACCACAGCCAGAUGACCAUUCACAGUAAUCCACCGGUCAAAUAAUACCUGACCAAAACCCACUUGGCUGCAGUACAGCUGCUGCACAGGAUGAAACCCUGCUGACCAUAAGUGGUGAUUUGCACAAGAAAAAGAAAAACUGCAACGGUCGAUUAACAGCUGAUGAAGUAAAUCUAACAUAUGUGGAUUU